GGCGGUAUUGGGUGAAGGUCGCGCCUUCAUACUGGAAAUAGGAGCUAAGCUUCGAAUCGGUGAAGUUCGACACGUUCACCGUCA
rnacentral:tRNA from 1 species